AGAUAGCAACGCUGAAAUCAAUUACUUUGGAAGAUUGCAGUGAAUCAGCGGUAGAGUCAGCUAAAAAGAUAGUAGAAGAACAGCAGGAUAUAUAUGGAGACCAACUAGACCUUCAUGUUCGAGCUAUACUUCGGUACAGAGACGAAAGACUGCAGAGCUUGGCCAAUCCCAACUUUGAAGUUACAGUAAGAGGUUAUUAGAAUCAUCCAAGAUUUCUAGUUACAAGUUCAGUUGUUUCGUAAGCUUAUAAAACUUUGAGCUUUUGUUACUUCAUUCAUUACUAUAAGCUAGCUCCACAAGUCUUUCUAUUGUUCCUUUUGUUCUAAUACAUAAAUGCUUUAUCAAUUGUUACGAUUGGAGGUCUUUUGGCAAAAUCUAAGUGCACUAGGGAAUAUUGAACGCGUAUAAAGCAAAAUUUGAAUUCAAUUGUUAUUACGAAUAAUAAUGAAUUUUGCUUGAAAAUAUUGCGAAUGAGCUAUAAUUCGGACCAAAACUAAACCAGUUUUUUGGAUAAAGGUAUCUCAUAAGGAAGAUGAGAAUUCGUGCCUAAAGCUGAAAAAAGAAGGAAAAAAUAAAAAAAAUAAAAAAGUGUUGAAAAUAAAAAAAUUAAGGAGCUAACAAAAAGAAAAAAAAAAGCAAAAACGAAAAAGACAAAAAUUAAAAUUUAAAAAGCAAAAAAUAAAACUGAAAAUAAGCAAAAGGAAGAAGAAACAAAAAAACAAAUAAAAGGAACAAAAAAAGAAGCAAAAUGAAAAAGCAAAAAAAGAAACAAAUGAAAAAGCAAAAAAGAAGCAAAAUGAAAAAAAAUAAGUGCGGAACAAAGGGUUUGAAACCUAGACCUUUGAGAGGAAAGGAGCGCGCUUUAGCCAACUGCACCACGCGACAUUUUCGUUUUCAUUUAGCGAAAUGUAGAAUAUGAAUCAUUAAAGCUGUAGUAUAAAUGUGCACCACCGCAUAGUAGCACACAAGACUAGCUCAAUAAAUAAAAGCAAACAUAAUUAGGGCUGAGCAUCGGUUCAAAACCGANCCAAGCAAGUGGAAAUUCAGGUAGUGAUGAUUUGAGUGAGGGCGACUUGGGAUUAAAACUACACCAGUAUUUAUGGGUAGAAGGUAUCUCUAAUUAUGGAUGAUAUGUGGAGCAUAGAGGUGUGGGACAAGAUCAGGUCUUCCUUUCCUGAUUGCAAUAACGGGAGUCGAAUAAUUGUAACAACUAGGCUAUCAAACUUCACUUCGCAGUUGGGUGAGUCUUAUGGUGUUGGUAUGAAAUUUCUAGAUGAGGCUAGUAGUUGGGAUUUGUUCACCCAGACUGUGUUUGGGGCGAAUGUUUCCUCAUGAAUGAGGAUAUUGGAAAGAAUAUUGUAGCAAAUUGUAAAGGGCUUCCUUUAUCAAUUGCUACAAUUGGAGGCCUUUUGGCAAAAUCUGAGCGCACUAGAGAAUAUUGGAUGCAUAUAGAGCACAAUUUAAAUUCAAUUGUCAUUACGAAUAAUGAUGAAUUUUGCUUGAAAAUUUUGCGAUUGAGCUAUACCUAUCUGCCCAACUAUUUGAAGCCAUGUUUUUUGUAUAUGGGUGUUUUUGAGGAAGAUCGUUCAAUUCGUGCCUCAGCUUUGAGGAAGCUAUGGGUUUCAGAAGGAUUUUUAAAACCCGUGAGUGGAAAAUGUUUGGAAACAAUAGCAAAAGAGUACUUAAAGGAGUUGGUAGAUAGAAAUUUGAUUUUAGUUGAUAAGUUGGGGUUUAGUGGAAAUGUAAAGUUUUGUAAGAUUCAUGAUUUGUUGAGGGACGUGUGCUUGAAAGAAGUUGAAAAGGACAGGUUUUAUCGUAUCAUAGGAAAGCCUCCUUCAGUCAUACAAAACGAACGUCGGGUUGUUUUUUAAAAUGCUGGAAGUUGGGUAAUAAGUGAAGUCUCGAGAUCUUGGUCACAUGCUCGUUCGAUAAUAUGUGAUGGCGAGGGGAGAAACUUUGAAAGGCCUCACAAUCUUAGAUUGUUGAGAACAUUCAAAUCAUGUGCUAGAGAUACAGCUGGAGUUUUUCAAAAGAGGAUACUGAGGGACAUGGUUUUAAUUUCCUAGACAAUGUUUUUCAACUGGUGAACUCACGGCUCCUUGCUGUUAGACUUCAUCAGGAGUCCAAAUUCCCUUCUUCAAUCAAAUUGCUUUGGAAUCUACAUACGUUAAUAGUUUAUUGUUGGCAUGAAGUUGUUGCACCGAUUGAGAUUUGGAAAUUACAUCAACUUAGGCAUCUCAAGUUUAGGUUAGCAGGAUUGAUUCUACCAGAUCCUCCGAGUGAGAUGGUUGUCAUGGAGAAUCUACAAACGCUCGUAGGAGCGAAGAAUUUGUACUUGAAUGAGGAGGUGGUUCAAAGAAUUCCAAACUCAAGAAAUUGCAUCUAUUUUACAAUUCCUAAAGAUAUGGAGAGUUUGUAGAAAAUUGAAACAAAUGGAGAGAGCAAACUGUUUGAGCUAUCUUGAGUGUCUGAGUAAAUUGGAAAACUUGUACUGCAUAUUUAGAGGUGGAUGUGAUGAUGAGUAUUUGCACAGGAUUAGUUUCCCACACUCCCUCAAGAAGUUGAAGUUAACUCUCUCUACUGGUCAUCUGGAGUUGGUAGAGAUGUUGGAAAAGAUAGGGACAUUGCCCCUUCUUCAGAAGUUAGUAUUACAUCAUGGUAGAUUCAAAACAGGCAAAUGGGACACUAUUGAGGGCCAAUUCCAGAGCCUCAAGCUACUACAAUUGGAUGAGUGUGAAGGUCUUAAAAAUUGGACGAUGGCAGACAGCUCCCACUUUCCACUUCUCCAGGAGCUUCGUCUUCAAGGUUUGCGACAAUUGGAGGAGAUCCCUUCCGAAGUUGGAGAGAUAGCAACGCUGAAAUCAAUUACUUUGGAAGAUUGCAGUGAAUCAGCGGUAGAGUCAGCUAAAAAGAUAGUAGAAGAACAGCAGGAUAUAUAUGGAGACCAACUAGACCUUCAUGUUCGAGCUAUACUUCGGUACAGAGACGAAAGACUGCAGAGCUUGGCCAAUCCCAACUUUGAAGUUACAGUAAGAGGUUAUUAGAAUCAU
rnacentral:lncRNA from 1 species